rnacentral:rRNA from 1 species
GACGAACGCUGGCGGCGUGCUUAACACAUGCAAGUCGAACGAUGAAGCCGGAGCUUGCUCUGGUGAAUUAGUGGCGGACGGGUGAGUAACACGUGAGUAACCUGCCCUUGACUCUGGGAUAACUGCGGGCAACUGUAGCUAAUACCGGAUACGACCCUCGGAGGCAUCUCCUGGGGGGGGAAAGAAUUUCGGUCAAGGAUGGACUCGCGGCCUAUCAGCUAGUUGGUGAGGUAAAGGCUCACCAAGGCGACGACGGGUCGCCGGCCGGAGAGGGGGACCAGCCACAGUGGGACUGGGACCCAGCCCAGACACCUGCGGGAGGCAGCAGUGGGGAAUAUUGCACAAUGGGCGCAAGCCUGAUGCAGCAACGCCGCGUGAGGGAUGACGGCCUUCGGGUUGUAAACCUCUUUUAGCAGGGAAGAAGCGAAAGUGACGGUACCUGCAGAAAAAGCACCGGCUAACUACGUGCCAGCCGCCGCAGUAA